GAUGAACGCUGGCGGCGUGCCUAAUACAUGCAAGUCGAGCGAACAGACGAGGAGCUUGCUCCUCUGACGUUAGCGGCGGACGGGUGAGUAACACGUGGAUAACCUACCUAUAAGACUGGGAUAACUUCGGGAAACCGGAGCUAAUACCGGAUAAUAUAUUGAACCGCAUGGUUCAAUAGUGAAAGACGGUUUUGCUGUCACUUAUAGAUGGAUCCGCGCCGCAUUAGCUAGUUGGUAAGGUAACGGCUUACCAAGGCAACGAUGCGUAGCCGACCUGAGAGGAUGAUCGGCCACACUGGAACUGAGACACGGUCCAGACUCCUACGGGAGGCAGCAGUAGGGAAUCUUCCGCAAUGGGCGAAAGCCUGACGGAGCAACGCCGCGUGAGUGAUGAAGGUCUUCGGAUCGUAAAACUCUGUUAUUAGGGAAGAACAAAUGUGUAAGUAACUAUACACGUCUUGACGGUACCUAAUCAGAAAGCCACGGCUAACUACGUG
rnacentral:rRNA from 1 species